UGUACUAUUUUAUUAAGUAAUAAUUCUAAAAAAUGUUAAAUUAUGGUUUGUUUUACAGCUUUGUUCUACUUUAUUUCAUUGACAGAGCCCAGUCAUCAAUGGUGACCUCAUCAGCAUGGGAUAUGAUAAUAAACCAUUAUACCCUGGCAGACCUGGUCCCUAAAAGGAGAGUUGUAAAUGCAAUUGGUUAAAUGAAAGAACACCCAGAAACUUCUACUGAUAUCAACCAUGUUUAUAUUUGGAAAAGAAUAUUGAACUGUAAACCAAAAAGAUGCCUGUGUUAAGUGUUACGAUCCUACUGUCACUAAUCAUACUUAGUGUUUAUAAGCUUUGCUGCAAAUCUACACAGACUGAUGCCAGUCCUGAAAUUACAGCCUAUGAUAUAAAUGAAGAUAUUACAUCAGCUUAUCAAAAAGAAGUACUGUACAUUAUUUAGGGAAUUCAAACAAGCGAAGUGUCUUGUCCAAGAACCCAGGCAAUGUACACAGCAUGUGUCCUUGUACAAGACACUAGAUCUUGGCUUGUAUCUCUCUCUCUCUCUCUCUAUCCAGGUGUAUAAAGCAAUAUAAAUGAUGUUCCUAUAGUAAAACAAUGUUAAUAAAGUGUCUUUUCAUUGCUGUCGA